ensembl:lncRNA
AUGAUUCUGGAGUGGAUCCACACUGGGAGGAUGAACUUGGAAGACUUCAUGUCACAGAUGAAGACUGUCAUUAAAAGGGGCAUUCCUGUGGCUACUGUCAUUGGAGGAGGUUAUUCCAGAGAUAUUGAUCGACUGGCGCGCAGGCACUCAAUAAUUCAGAGCUGCAUCAAAGGUGAGGUCACAGAAAUCAUAAUGAAAGUAAUAUGUAUUUCAUGGACCUGUGUAAAUUGAACAGGGACAUUAUUGGGUGCCUUGUACCAAUUUAAUCUAUAUAUUUAUUCAUUUAUUCUGUAUAUAUAUUUGUCAGAAAGACACAUUUUAUGCUGCUGUUUUUACAUGUUGAUGUUAUUAAGAAGCAGAUUUUGUUUUCAUAGUAUUGUUGAGCUUUCUGUCCUCUUUAUCACAAAUGUAAACACCAGAAUUGCACUUUUUAAAGGUUUAUAUGCUUUUAAUGGUUCCCAUCUCUGCAUUUAGGUUUGGAGAGAACAUGGAGUUUAACUCCAAGAUGAAAAUGGACAGCAGUUGCUAAACAAUCUAAGACUGGUGGGACCUUAUGAAUGCUCCGCAGUGCCAUAGCCAUUGUAUGCAAUAGAUUUUAUGAAUAAAAAUGCCAUAUUUAUUCA